UGAGGAAUAUUGGUCAAUGGGCGAGAGCCUGAACCAGCCACGUCGCGUGAAGGAAGACUGACCUUACGGUUUGUAAACUUCUUUUGUAGAGGGGUAAUGGCAGAUACGUGUAUUUGCGUGAAAGUACUCUACGAAUAAGCAUCGGCUAACUCCGUGCCAGCAGCCGCGGUAAUACGGGGGAUGCGAGCGUUAUCCGGAAUUAUUGGGUUUAAAGGGUGCGCAGGUGGCUAUUCAGGUCAGUGGUGAAAAGCUAUGGCUCAACCAUGGUCUUGCCAUUGAAACCGUAUAGCUAGAGAGGAGACGAGGUAGGCGGAAUGUGUGGUGUAGCGGUGAAAUGCAUAGAUAUCACACAGAACUCCGAUUGCGAAGGCAGCUUACCAGGCUUUAUCUGACACUUAGGCACGACAGCGUGGGGAGCAAACAGG
rnacentral:rRNA from 1 species